rnacentral:tRNA from 2 species
CGGGGCGUAGCUCAGCCUGGUAGAGUGCUUGCUUUGGGAGCAAGAUGUCGGAGGUUCGAACCCUCUCGCCCCGACCA